rnacentral:rRNA from 1 species
AUUGAACGCUGGCGGCAUGCCUUACACAUGCAAGUCGAACGGCAGCACGGGUGCUUGCACCUGGUGGCGAGUGGCGAACGGGUGAGUAAUACAUCGGAACGUACCUUAUCGUGGGGGAUAACGCAGCGAAAGCUGUGCUAAUACCGCAUACGCCCUGAGGGGGAAAGCGGGGGAUCGAAAGACCUCGCGCGAUUAGAGCGGCCGAUGCCUGAUUAGCUUGUUGGUGGGGUAAAAGCCCACCAAGGCGACGAUCAGUAGCUGGUCUGAGAGGACGAUCAGCCCAACUGGGACUGAGACACGGCCCAGACUCCUACGGGAGGCAGCAGUGGGGAAUUUUGGACAAUGGGGGCAACCCUGAUCCGGCAAUGCCGCGUGAGUGAAGAAGGCCUUCGGGUUGUAAAGCUCUUUUGUCAGGGAAGAAACACCGGCUCUAACACAGUCCGGGAAUGACGGUACCUGAAGAAUAAGCACCGGCUAACUACGUGCCAGCAGCCGCCGUAA